rnacentral:rRNA from 1 species
GGCCGAUGGCGACCGGCGCACGGGUGAGUAACACGUAUCCAACCUGCCGUCUACUCUUGGACAGCCUUCUGAAAGGAAGAUUAAUACAAGAUGGCAUCAUGAGUCCGCAUGUUCACAUGAUUAAAGGUAUUCCGGUAGACGAUGGGGAUGCGUUCCAUUAGAUAGUAGGCGGGGUAACGGCCCACCUAGUCUUCGAUGGAUAGGGGUUCUGAGAGGAAGGUCCCCCACAUUGGAACUGAGACACGGUCCAAACUCCUACGGGAGGCAGCAGUGAGGAAUAUUGGUCAAUGGGCGAGAGCCUGAACCAGCCAAGUAGCGUGAAGGAUGACUGCCCUAUGGGUUGUAAACUUCUUUUAUAAAGGAAUAAAGUCGGGUAUGCAUACCCGUUUGCAUGUACUUUAUGAAUAAGGAUCGGCUAACUCCGUGCCAGCAGCCGCGGUAAUACGGAGGAUCCGAGCGUUAUCCGGAUUUAUUGGGUUUAAAGGGAGCGUAGAUGGAUGUUUAAGUCAGUUGUGAAAGUUUGCGGCUCAACCGUAAAAUUGCAGUUGAUACUGGAUAUCUUGAGUGCAGUUGAGGCAGGCGGAAUUCGUGGUGUAGCGGUGAAAUGCUUAGAUAUCACGAAGAACUCCGAUUGCGAAGGCAGCCUGCUAAGCUGCAACUGACAUUGAGGCUCGAAA